rnacentral:rRNA from 1 species
AUUGAACGCUGGCGGUAGGCUUAACACAUGCAAGUCGAACGAGUGGCGGACGGGUGAGUAAUGUCUGGGAACAUGCCCGUUGGCGGGGGAUAACUACUGGAAACGGUAGCUAAUACCGCAUACUAUUGGACGUGCCCAGAUUGGAUUAGCUAGUUGGUGGGGUAACGGCUCACCAAGGCGACGAUCCGUAGCUUGUCUGAGAGGAUGACCUGACACACUGGGACUGAGACACGGCCCAGACUUCUACGGGAGGCAGCAGUGGGGAAUAUUGGACAAUGGGGGAAAGCCUGAUGCAGCCAUGCCGCGUGUAUGAUGAAGGACGUCGGGUUGUAAAGUACUUUUGGCAGAGAGGCGGUACCCGAAGAAGAAGCAACGGCUAACUCCGUGCCAGCAGCCGCGGUAAUUC